CCGGAGCUUGCUCCACCGGAAAAAGAAGAGUGGCGAACGGGUGAGUAACACGUGGGUAACCUGCCCAUCAGAAGGGGAUAACACUUGGAAACAGGUGCUAAUACCGUAUAACAAUCGAAACCGCAUGGUUUUGAUUUGAAAGGCGCUUUCGGGUGUCGCUGAUGGAUGGACCCGCGGUGCAUUAGCUAGUUGGUGAGGUAACGGCUCACCAAGGCCACGAUGCAUAGCCGACCUGAGAGGGUGAUCGGCCACAUUGGGACUGAGACACGGCCCAAACUCCUACGGGAGGCAGCAGUAGGGAAUCUUCGGCAAUGGACGAAAGUCUGACCGAGCAACGCCGCGUGAGUGAAGAAGGUUUUCGGAUCGUAAAACUCUGUUGUUAGAGAAGAACAAGGAUGAGAGUAACUGUUCAUCCCUUGACGGUAUCUAACCAGAAAGCCACGGCUAACUACGUGCCAGCAGCCGCGGUAAUACNUANGUGGCAAGCGUUGUCCGGAUUUAUUGGGCGUAAAGCGAGCGCAGGCGGUUUCUUAAGUCUGAUGUGAAAGCCCCCGGCUCAACCGGGGAGGGUCAUUGGAAACUGGGAGACUUGAGUGCA
rnacentral:rRNA from 1 species